rnacentral:rRNA from 1 species
AUUGAACGCUGGCGGCAGGCCUAACACAUGCACGUCGAGCGGAGCGGCGGACGGGUGAGUAAUGCCUAGGAAUCUGCCUGGUAGUGGGGGAUAACGUCCGGAAACGGGCGCUAAUACAGCAUCCUAUCAGAUGAGCCUAGGUCGGAUUAGAUAGCGGGGGGGGUAAAGGCCUAAAAAGGCGACGAUCCGUAACUGGUCUGAGAGGAUGAUCAGUCACACUGGAACUGAGACACGGUCCAUACUCCUACGGGAGGCAGCAGUGGGGAAUAGUGGACAAUGGGCGAAAGCCUGAUCCAGCCAUGGCGGGUGUAUGAAGAAGGGCUUCGGAUUGUAAAGCACUUUAAGUUGGGAGGCGUUACCAACAGAAUAAGCACCGGCUAACUUCGUGCCAACAGCCGCGGUAAUUC